ACCAGCCCAGCCCUGACCCUGCAGCUCUGGGAGAGGAGCCCCAGUCCCGGGACUCCCAGGUCUGCCCACUCGCUGCUCAGGACUGAACACAGACGACGCACCAUGGAGUCUGGGCUGAGCUGGCUUCUCCUGGUUGCUCUGUUACAAGGUGUCCAGUGUGAGAUGAAGCUGGUGGAGUCUGGGGGAGGCUUGGUCAGGCCUGGGGGCUCCCUCGAACUCUCCUGCGCAGCCUCUGGAUUCACAUUCAGCAGCUUCGGGAUGCACUGGGUUCGCCAGGCUGAAGGCAAGGGACUGGAAUGGGUCUCAGCAAUCAGUGGUAAUGGUGGUAGCACAUACUACCCAGACUCUGUGAAGGGCCGAUUCACCAUCUCCAGAGACAACGGCAAGAACACUCUGAGUCUGCGAAUGAACAGCCUGAGACCCGAGGAUACCGCGGUGUAUUUCUGCGCAAAGGACAGACACAGUGAGGGGAAGGAAGUGGGAGCCCAUACACAAACCUCCUGCGGAGUGUGGCCGCUAGGGGGCGCCCGGGACACAGGCGAGGAGUCACCCAGGGCAGGUGCUGGGGGUGGGGGACGGGGGCUCAGCCCUGGUGUCUGCUCUGGGUGGUGGUUUCCUCUCUAUGUAACAGUUUCCUCUGGGGAAUAUCUCUGGAUUUCUGAUUCUGUGUUUUGUUCCGACAUUUCUGAAUUGGAUGUAUUUGAGCAAAUAACCAAAAACCUCCCUGCACAAAAGAGAGAGAGGAGCUUCCCGUCACUUUAUAUUGUCCCCAAAUGGACGUUAAUUGUGAACACUUUGGACUAA